UAUGAGUUAGUGGCGGACGGGUGAGUAACGCGUGGGUAACCUGGCCCAUACAGGGGGAUAACACUUAGAAAUAGGUGCUAAUACCGCAUAACAACAGAAAGCGCAUGCUUUUUGUUUGAAAACCAAGGUGGUAUGGGAUGGACCCGCGUCUGAUUAGCUGGUUGGCGGGGUAAAGGCCCACCAAGGCGACGAUCAGUAGCCGGCCUGAGAGGGUGGACGGCCACAUUGGGACUGAGACACGGCCCAAACUCCUACGGAAGGCAGCAG
rnacentral:rRNA from 1 species